CACCCUGUAGAACCGAAUUUGU
rnacentral:ncRNA from 2 species